UGGGGAAUAUUGGGCAAUGGGCGAAAGCCUUACCCAGCAACGCCGCGUGAGGGAAGAAGGUUUUCGGAUUGUAAACCUCUGUCCUGGGGGACGAAGGAAGUGACGGUACCCCGGGAGGAAGCCCCGGCUAACUACGUGCCAGCAGCCGCGGUAAUACGUAGGGGGCGAGCGUUGUCCGGAAUUAUUGGGCGUAAAGGGCGCGUAGACGGCCGAGUAAGUUAUAGGUGAAAGCCCAUCUUUCAAGGAUGGAAUUGCCUGUAAUACUGCCUGGCUUGAGUGCAGGAGAGGGAAGCGGAAUUCCUAGUGUAGCGGUGAAAUGCGUAGAUAUUAGGAGGAACACCAGUGGCGAAGGCGGCUUUCUGGACUGUAACUGACGUUGAGGCACGAAAGUGUGGGGAGGCAAACAGGAUUAGAUACC
rnacentral:rRNA from 1 species